rnacentral:rRNA from 1 species
GUCUCAGUUCGGAUUGGAGUCUGCAACCCGACUCCAUGAAGCUGGAUUCGCUAGUAAUCGCGCAUCAGCCACGGCGCGGUGAAUACGUUCCCGGGCCUUGUACACACCGCCCGUCAAGCCAUGGGAGCCGGGGGUGCCUGAAGGCCGUGACCGCGAGGAGCGGCCUAGGGUAAAACUGGUGACUGGGGCUAAGUCGUAACAAGGUAUC